rnacentral:lncRNA from 1 species
GCCUUUUCCAGGGCCACUCCCACUGCGUAUGGAGGUUCCCAGGCUAAGGGUCCAGUCGGAGCUGUAGCUGCCAGCCUACACCACAGCCACAGCAACGAGGGAUCCGAGCAGCAUCUGCGACCUAUACCACAGUUCAUGGUAACGUCAGAUCCUUAACCCAAAGAAUGAGGCCAGGGAUCAAACCUGCAACCUCAUGGUUCCUAGUUGGAUUUGUUAACCACUGCGCCACGAUGGGAACUCCAUGCUGCUUUAUUUUCUUCAUAUAUAUUAACUAUAAACAUUUCAAAAGUAUAACUUAAAAUACAGCAAAAAGCGUUCUCCAAAAAGCAUUUAGAUCUGACGAAGCCCACAGAUGAAUCCAGGUCCCCCUGCCCCAGCCUCGUACCUCUACUCUCCAGCAUUCUUACUUUGCUUAAUUAAUUAAAUGUGAAAUGUAAUCUGCCUUCUAGAUGAUACAAAGAAAGCUUUCAACCCAAGGGUUUUAAAAUUAAAAUCUUUUCAGGGAGUUUAGUUUUGCAAAAUGAAAGACAGCUUAUGUUGCCGGCUCCCACUGGGACACUUUUCUGGAUAUUGAAGGAGAAUCUGGUUCAUAAAGUGUGGGGAGAAUGUUCGUCUGGUUUAUUAAAGACAAAUCUUAGGGGACAGAGGUGAGUAUGUUUGUGCUCCCUUUAAAAAUGUAGGCAUUCCUUAGGAAAAACCUACCUGCCUUUCCUAUGGAUUUUUGAACACUUACUUGCUUUUUCAUUUAAUUGAAAAAUAAUGUACGUUUUUUCUCUUUUCCAUGCGCAUGUUAAGUUUUUCAUUUGAGGGCACUGUUAUUUGAUCUAUACUGUAAAGAUAUGUCUGUUGCAAGUCAUAUGCACACAAGGUAAGUAAAAUGCUUUAUUCUGUUUAUAUUUCAAGAAACACAGACCAUAUCGCCAUAGGUUUUGGAGUGAGGUGAUGGUCACUGGUGAAAAGUGCAGGCAUCUAGAGACAGUAACACCACUUAUGGUGAGCUGUCACUGUCAUGCAAAAAUCAGAAUUAGUGAAAUCAACUGCUCCCUGGCAAAGCACCGUGAAGAUGGUUUUCUCCUGUCGAGGGGAUGCCGGAAAGAACCCGCAUAAAGUUCACUCACUGAUAAGAACGCUUCUCCCUGCUGCCUGAAGAGUAGUCGUACUGGUUUUGCAACUCAGGCGGAUGAUUACUGCAGCCUCAGCAGCCAGAGGAUCAACAUUUGUCUCUCGGGGUCAACAGGACCAACAGAAAUGUUCACUCCAAGUUCCUUUCCUUUGACGGCUCCCGAGACGGGAGGGCGCGGACCUGUGUGUACACGCAGGUGAAGGGCAGCGUUGCGUCCGGAGCCAGCCCCACUCCUGCGACAGUCUGGGGACAUCCGCAGCCAUCCAUUUCAGAGCUGGGGAAUAACUGAGAGACCCUCUAGCCACUUCCUCAUUUUACAGAUGAGGAAAGUGAGACCCAGGAGCGACUUCCUGGAGGUGGGUCAGGCAGGUAACUCGAGACGAAGUCUCCUCUUGCCUCCGCACUUUGCUCAAAGCCAAAUUAACUGUAACCAGGGAACAUAAAAGAUGACACCACCAAGUCACCAAGGCAGAGGCCGCAAGUAAACCACAGCCGUCCAAGCCAUUACUUCCAAGGCUGACGGGGAGUGUUGUUACUUCUGGUGGGGAGACUGCUAACACGUGAACCUAUUUUAAUGGCACUCUAUGUCUCCUCGUGCAGUAUGAGUGGAAUUAAGUGUUACCACCUAUGAACCAUUCUUGCCCCCCCCCCCCCCAUCAAACCUGAGUCUGAUAAAGGCUCUAGAUGGAACUGCCAGUUGCCGGGAAAUCCAGAGGGUAGAGGAAUAAGUUAAACCAUCGCAGGGAUGCCACUGGCCAAAUCCAGAGGGGAGAAUUCUAGUAGAUGGUCCAGUUUCUUCAACAGUGACAAAAGAAUGAAGAUAGGAAAGAAAGAAGUCAGAAAAGAGGAGUGUUUUUAUCCACUAAACGAGACUAAGAGAUACUAACCAAGUAUGCUAUUAAGGUUCUAUUUUUUUUUUUUUCUUUAUGGCUGCACCUGUGGCAUAUAGAAGUUCCCAGUUUAGGGAGCUGGAGCUGCAGCUGCGGGCCUACACCACAGCCAUGGCAACGCCAGAUCUGAGGUGCAUCUGUAACCUACACUGCAGCUUUCAGCAAUGCUGGAUCCUUAACCCACUGAGCGAGGCCAGAGAUUGAACCCACAUCUUCUUGGAGACUAUGUCAGGUUCUUAACCUGCUGAGCCACAGCAGGAACUCUCUAAGGUUCUACUCUUAAUAAUUUUAGGUGUGUGUUUUUUAGAGCUGCAAAUAGGAGUAUUUAUGAAUUAAAUGAUAACGUCUGGGAUUUGCUUUAAAAAGUCCAUGUGGGGACAGGGAAGUGGAUGCAUAAAUGAAAGAUGUGACCCACGUUGAUAGCUAUUGAAGCUGAUGGGUAUCCAUUGUAGUAGUCUUUCUACUUGUGUGUAUGUUUGAAAAAUCUCCAAAAUAAAAAGACUAGAAAUAAAACCAAGAUAAAGAGAACAUGUAUAAUAGACUCUACGUGUAUCUUAUGUUGCCAAAAGAUUUUAUAGGAUUUAAAGGAAGUUUCAAUCUAUGACAUUUCUAUUUAAAAGUUCUCUUCCUGCAUCUUUGCUGAAUAGCAUCCCAACACUGCUGGACAGGCCCAUCCCUGUCACGUCUCUAUUCUGUGCUUCUUCUUAGAACAAUCCGUUAGCGUGUCUGUCUCUCCCUCUGUGAGUUCCUUGAGGGCAGAGGCUGUAUCUUUUUUUUUCCCCUGGCCAUACCAAGGCAGAGCAUGCAUAAAUUCCUGGGCCAGGGAUCAAACCUGCACCACAAUAGUAACAACACUGGAUCCUUAACCCACUGAGCUACCAGGGAACUCCUUUUAAAAUUUUCUUCCCUCCUUCCCCCCUUCCUUCCUUUCUUCCUUCCUUCCUCUUCUUUCUUUCUGCUAGAUUUUUUUAUAUUCCUGUCCAUGGUUCAUAGCACAGUAUUGGAUUGGUACCAAAUAAAUAAGUGAAUUUUCUGGAAAAAAAAGUUUUUCUCUUUUGCCACUUUAAUCAGUAUUUUUAUUUUAUUAUUUAAUCAAGCUUUUAUUUUUUAUGUUGAAAUGCAAAUAUUUGUUGUUGCUAGUGUUAUUAUUCUGCUGUUACUGAAAAUGGGAAACGAUGUUAAAAAGACUGAAAAAGGAGUUCUCUUGUGGCACAGCGGGUUAAGGAUAUGGUGUCGCAGCACUGGCAUGAGUUCGGUCCCUGGCCCAGGAACUUUCACAUGCUGUGAGUGUGGCCAAAAAAAAAAAAAAAAAAAAAAAAAAAUCAAAAAAGAGUAAUAAAAUCCCAUCGAUAGCUCCCACCUUCUGCCCCCAUCCUUCGAUUUUCUAAGCUCUCUUUAUGAAUUAUUACCUUAAAAGCAUCAUUCUUGUGCCUCUGCCUUGGAGAUUUUCCAGAUUCUCAACCUCACUUAAGCUGAGAUGAUUUUAAAUUUCAAGAUACGGGUACAAAUUUUUCCAGUAACUUUUGAAUAUUACUUUUCAUCUUUUAUAAACAAAAGUUUCAUUCACUAUAGAGAACAAGAAUUUAUCGACCAUUUAUUUAUCAUACUGUUCAAAUAAAAGUCACAUAAGACUUUCCCACACAGCUUUCGGAAACUCCGUUUCUUCCUUUCCGUGAUAGAAUUCAAAGCCUACUAACUUACCUCGAGAAAUUGAAAGGGUUGUGGCCGGUCCUCUUCAGAGAUGGUCACCAGCCCUCUUCCCACCCUCUACACGCGGCUGCUCUUUCCAUCAAGAGGUGGAGUCAUCUCCCCUGACACUGAAACUCCAUCAGCCUUAUGGCUUAUAUUCAUCAAUUAAAUGUGAUGAAAAUGACCCGACGCCAGUUCUAGGCCACAGCCUUCAAAGGCCUGGCAGCUUUUGCUUUCACCUCCCUGGAGCCUUGCACUGCAGUGUGCAGUAAGCUUGACUUGAGUCGAGCUCUCCUGAUGAGAGAGAAGCCCCGUGGAGGACCACGGGUGCCCAGCGAUGGGCAGCACCGAGGUCAUGAGUGUGGCCAUCUUGGAUUCUUUAGCCUUUCCUGAGUCUGGCUCACACUAGGUGGAUCAGAGAUGAGAGAUUUCCACUGAGCUGCAACUGAAGACCCACAGAAUGACUUUUUUUUAAAUGUUUUGGCCAUGACCGCAGUAUGUGGUAGUUCCAGGGCCAGGGAUCAGACCUGUACCACAGCAGCAAUCUAAGCUCCAGCAGCAAUAAUGCCAGAUCCUUAACCCACUGCACCACCUGGAAACUCCCAGAAAGGCUGUUUUAAGUGACUCAUUUCAGGUGUAAUUUGUGCCAUAGCUGUAGAAAACUGAUACAAGGAGGGAAGGUGAAGUCCUUUUUCUGUGCUCAGUAUUGUCUGUGUUUGAACUUGAAAUGCUAGUUUCUCUGCCUAUUAAAAUUCUGCCCAUCCGCAGAAGCUGCCCAGAGGUUCAAGUACAGGCUGUUUCCAGGUUGUUUCCUCCCCCAGGGCUAGGUUUAAAAUGGGCCUGGAACACAUUUGUUCCAGAAAUUCUUUCAUAUGCCAGAAAGUAAGGAAGUGCUCAAAAAAAAACAAUAGGGGCACAGCCCAAGGGAACAGGUGCCAGCUUGAAGGCUCCUGAUGGCCCAAUCUGGGACAGUUUCUCUCCAAAUAAUGAAAAGCAAUAAUAAACAAUGUAAAAAUAGGAAAUUGGAGUUUCCCUUGUGUUUCAGCACAUCACACAACCUGACUAGUGUCCAUGAGGAUGUGGGUUCGAUUCCUGGCCUCACUCAGUGGGUUAAGGAUCUGGAGUUGCCAUGAGCUGUGGUGCAGCUCACAGCUGUAGCUUGGAUGCUGCAUUGCUGUGGCUGUGGUGUAGGCCAGCAGCUGCAGGUCCGAUCUGACCCCUAGCCUGGGAGCCUUCAUAUGCCAAGGGUGUGGCCCUAGAAAGACAAAAGACAAAUAAAUAAAUAAAUAGUGCAAAUUAUGAAGCAAAUGGGGUGAAUGUUAAAACAGUAAGUGGCUCUGGAUGAGGGUGUACAAGGGUUUCUUGAGCUGUUUUUAAUUUUUGUAAUUGUUUUAAGGCUAAGAUUUUUUCCAGAUAACAAGGCUAAAAUUAUUUCCAGGUAACACGUUAGAAAAGUCCUGCUAAGAUAUAGUGCAUGAAUCUACUUUUUAGUCCUCAAAGCUACCUCCCUUCUUUGAAUGCCUGUGGCACUUUACUGUUGUUUUUUUAAAUUAUGUACAGCCUGGUAUUGUUAGGGAGUUCGUUUCAGGUUGUUCUGGGCAUCGAAGGCUGUACCUCCCCUUCUCAAUCGCAUGUCAGGGCCUCGGUAUGUUCUCUGCAGCCCCCUCGUGUCCCCUGUAGAGCGCAGGCCCAGAGGAGGCUCU